AUGAAGCGCAACCCCCGCGUCACGAGCUCCCGCCGGAAGUGCCGCAAGGCGCACUUCACGGCGCCGUCCUCCGUCCGCCGCGUGCUCAUGUCCGCGGCCCUCUCCUCCGAGCUCCGCCACAAAUAUAACGUCCGCUCCAUCCCGAUCCGCAAGGACGACGAGGUGCAGGUCGUGCGCGGCACCUACAAGGGCCGCGAGGGAAAGGUGGUGCAGGUCUACCGCCGCCGCUGGGUCAUCCACGUGGAGCGGAUCACCAGGGAGAAGGUCAAUGGAUCCACGGUGAACGUCGGCAUCCACCCCAGCAAGGUGAUCGUCACCAAGCUCAAGCUCGACAAGGACCGCAAGGCCCUCCUCGACCGCAAGGCUCGCGGCCGCGCUGCUGACAAGGCCAAGGGAAAGUUCACGGCGGAGGACGUCGCCGCCGCCGCUGGGGGCGCCACGGCCACCGGUGCCUCGCUCCAGGAGAUCGAUUAA
rnacentral:rRNA from 1 species